rnacentral:rRNA from 1 species
UACAGAGGUGGCAAGCGUUGUUCGGAAUUACUGGGCGUAAAGGGCGCGUAGGCGGCCUGCUAAGUCGAACGUGAAAUCCCCUGGGCUCAACCCAAGAACUGCGUCCGAUACUGGAAGGCUUGAAUUCGGGAGAGGGAUGCGGAAUUCCAGGUGUAGCGGUGAAAUGCGUAGAUAUCUGGAGGAACACCGGUGGCGAAGGCGGCAUCCUGGACCGGCAUUGACGCUGAGGCGCGAAAGCCAGGGGAGCAAACGGGG